UAGGGAAUCUUCCGCAAUGGACGCAAGUCUGACGGAGCAACGCCGCGUGAGUGAAGAAGGAUUUCGGAUCGUAAAGCUCUGUUGUUAAGGAAGAACGAGUGUGAGAAUGGAAAGUUCAUGCUGUGACGGUACUUAACCAGAAAGGGACGGCUAACUACGUGCCAGCAGCCGCGGUAAUACGUAGGUCCCGAGCGUUGUCCGGAUUUAUUGGGCGUAAAGCGAGCGCAGGCGGUUAGAAAAGUCUGAAGUGAAAGGCAGUGGCUCAACCAUUGUAGGCUUUGGAAACUGUUUAACUUGAGUGCAGAAGGGGAGAGUGGAAUUCCAUGUGUAGCGGUGAAAUGCGUAGAUAUAUGGAGGAACACCGGUGGCGAAAGCGGCUCUCUGGUCUGUAACUGACGCUGAGGCUCGAAAGCGUGGGGAGCGAACAGG
rnacentral:rRNA from 1 species